rnacentral:rRNA from 1 species
AACGUAGGAAGCGAGCGUUAUCCGGAUUUACUGGGCGUAAAGGGCAUGCAGGCGGUCCAUCAAGUUGGAGUUGAAAGCUCUUGGCUAAACUAGGAGAGGUGCUUCAAGACUGAUGGACUAGAGUAUGGUAGAGGAGAGUGGAAUUCCCGGUGUAGUGGUGAAAUGCGUAGAUAUCGGGAGGAACACCAGUGGCGAAAGCGGCUCUCUGGGCCAUAACUGACGCUCAGAUGCGAAAGCCAGGGGAGAGAACGGG